UACGUAGGGUGCGAGCGUUGUCCGGAAUUAUUGGGCGUAAAGAGCUCGUAGGCGGUCUGUCGCGUCGGUCGUGAAAACUUGGGGCUUAACCCCGAGCCUGCAGUCGAUACGGGCAGACUAGAGUGCUGUAGGGGAGACUGGAAUUCCUGGUGUAGCGGUGAAAUGCGCAGAUAUCAGGAGGAACACCGGUGGCGAAGGCGGGUCUCUGGGCCGUAACUGACGCUGAGGAGCGAAAGCAUGGGGAGCGAACAGG
rnacentral:rRNA from 1 species